UCGACCGCGGUGGGCACGUGACCCCGGCGUCUGCACCGGUGCGUAAGUGUGUGUGCCGGCAGCCGGGCCCACACGACGGCGGGCCUCAGUUUCGGCCUGAAGUCCGGACGCGGCGGUUCGGCUCCUGGCGUGCAGCCUGGCAGCCACUCGGCACGCACGCUCCCUAGCUCGCGGACGUCUUUGCACGUGGCACGAGGAAGGAGCGAAGAACGAGACUUCCCGCCUGCAGCCGCCGUCCGCAUCAAGAGAGGAAGAGCAGUGGAGAAGAAGGGCGAUAAGAAGAGUAUCGAAGAGGACUUAUCACCAAACGACGCGCAAGGCUUCGGCAGUUUCUACACCUUCGUCACGACCUCGAGCACUCUCGCCCUUCAACUUCUCAGUCCGGCGACCGGGGCAAUUGACACCAUGUGAGACAACGCACGCCCUGGGGCUGACUCGAGCUGCCCGUGCAAAACUGGAACCUUUGCGUUGUUUUGUUCGUUCGGCUCGAGUUAGGAACCGGCGUGGAAGCACCGAUGGAACGAGCCGGCACCACCCUCCCGCAACCCUCCCCCGCUCUCGCCCUGCCUGCCCUUUCCUGUCUCGGCGGGGGUGCUCCCCGAAGCGUUAAAUAAAGAUUUACUGCACUUUUCAA